rnacentral:misc_RNA from 1 species
GAUGAAGAACGUAGCGAAAUGCGAUAAGUAAUGCGAAUUGCAGAAUUCCAGUGAGUCAUCGAAUCUUUGAACGCACAUUGCGCCCUUUGGUAUUCCGAAGGGCAUGCCUGUUCGAGCGUCAUUAUCACCCCUCAAGCCCUCGGCUUGGUGUUGGACGGUUUGGUGGAGGCCCCCUCGGGGGCUCCUGCCCCUCCCAAAGACAAUGACGGCGGCCUCGUUGGACCCCCGGUACACUGAGUUCUUCACGGGACACGUAUCGGACACAUGGGUUUACGGGACACGGUCUGCCUCCCCUCAGGGAGAAUCUUUCUAAGGUUGACCUCGGAUCAGGUAGGGAUACCCGCUGAACUUAAGCAUAUCAAUAAGCGGAGGG